rnacentral:tRNA from 2 species
AGGCCAGUAGCUCAACUGGCAGAGCGUCGGUCUCCAAAACCGAAGGUUGGGGGUUCGAUUCCCUCCUGGCCUGCCA